UGUUAAAAUUAGGGUGAAAAAAAAAAAACCACAAAUCUCGCGCAUUCUCCUAUUCUUCACUGUACACCCCCACGAAAUUUUUUUAUUCUUGUCUUCUUCAUUCCGGCAACUACAGCGACUCCUCAACUCCGGUCGGCAGCAGCUCCUCCUCAAUUCGUUGAAGAAGCCAUUAUCUUACUCCGGAAAAUGUGGAAUUACUUAAUACUUUUCAAGAAUUUGCGAGUGGAAUUACCAAUCUAAAAAUAUACACCUUUUUGAUAUUGACAUUCCUGGGAAGAUUACUUUUAUUGAAUCGAAGACUCUAACUGUUGGCCAUAAUCCUACAAUUGUGGACACAGAUGUGGGAAGAAUCGGUAUAGGUAUAUGUUAUGAUCUUCGGUUCCAGGAACUAGCAAUGAUUUAUGCAGCAAGAGGUGCUCACUUGCUAUGCUAUCCUGGGGCUUUCAACAUGACUACCGGACCUGUGCAUUGGGAAUUGCUACAAGGGCAAGGGCUGUAGAUAAUCAGAAGAAGUCGUGUUGAGACUUGAGAGCAAGUAACAAGUAGUCCUCACUAGAGAAGACAAAGAAGUGAAUAAGUCAUAUAGUUUUCUUAGAUAGCCUAAUCUAAAAGCAAAGUCACUUCAAUACUGACAAAUAUUGAAAGAAGAAAUAAGAAAAAGACAGAAAAAAUGGUGCUCCUGACACUCCAAGUGACGUUUGCACCUUGACUAAAAUGCAUAACUCCUCCCCAUCAUUGACUUGAGGCCAUGGGGCUUUGCCAAGUAUUUAUGUUUUGGGUGGAAAUAUUAGCAAGGAUCAUUGCCAAGUGAAUUAAUUUGCUUGAUUAUUGUUAAUUGCAAGAGGUACGUAUGUUCUCUUAUUUUUUUUAUAAAUAUUAUUAUAAAAAUGUUAGAGGAGUUUGAAUAUCUUAAAUAUUCAUCCAUAGUGAAGUAGGUUCUGAGAUUAAAAUUGUGUGUUGCGGUGAUAAUAGAAGGUUGAGAACUUGUGUAUUUUAGUGAAGUAGUUUCUGGGAAAUUUAUUUGUGUGCUGCGGAGAUAUAAGGAAGAAACUUAUUGUGUGUUGUUUGAAUUGCUUGGUUCUCUAUUGACAGAUGGUUAGGUCACUAUUACAAGAGAAAUGUUGCCAAAAUUCAUCUUGAAUUAUGUUUUAUUUUCUUAUAUUUAAAUUAUGUUGUGCUUGCAUUGUUAUUUUUUUAUUGGUAUGGGGAAGCUCUGUCAAAAUUUAAGUUAAAAAGAUAGUGUAUUAAUAGGAAUAUGACAGCGCUAAAAUAUUGUAUUCAAGUCUUGGUGAAAUUGCUUUUGUAAUAAUAAAGUAAUUAUGUUUUCACGUAUUGUGGUGUUUAACAUUCUAACCAUUAAACAAUCAUACACUAUAAUGAUUAGUUUUAUUGUAUAAAAAAUAAAUAGAUAGCAAUUCCAAAUAGCAAAGAACAAAAAGAUAUCCUCUCCAAUUCGAAAGUUAAGAGUCCUUUAGCUAGCACAAUUCAAUAAGUUGCUUAUUCUCAAUUACUCAGUUGUAGCAAACUGAAAAAAAAAUAUAUACACAUAUAUGAUAAGUGGCUAAUAUUUUGUCAUAUUGAUUAAUGAUAAGUUACUCAUUAGCAUGAUACUUAUAAUACAUAAUAUAAUCCAUUUGAACUACUAAUUAAUACUUAAAAAACUAUUGAGAGAUUGGUCAAAAUUGUAAAAUGGCCAUUGUUUGAUCAUGAUUAUCUCUUUCUUUCAAUAGCAAUUUUUUUGUCUCUUUUGUGGUUCUUAAGGACACGGAUCACUUAUAUAUUCUACCCAUUUGAAUACAUAUUUAUCUAUUUAACUCAACCCCGCCACACCACGCCACACAUGUCACACACACCUUGAGUCAUCUUUACUUGACACACCUUUCUACUUUUGCUAAAUUUAAAUCAUGAAAAAAGCCACACUUUAUUGCCUAACUAUCCUAUCGGAGUCUAUUAAUUCUAUAUAAGCUUCAAUCAAUAUCUUCUAAGUCAUCUCAAACAAUUAUUGAACAUCUACAUUUUACUUGCUGCGUGUUUCUACUAUGGCACUUCCUCAAGCCAACUUCGGUACCUUUUCUAGUUUUUAUUCUAGUUCGAAUUAAGAUGUUUGCAUGCCAUGUCUUCAAGGCCAAAGUCUAUUGAUGUUGAUUGGACUACAAAAGUGAUCUCUCAUGUUCGUGCUCACCAACCUCUCUUUCUCUAUAUGUAUCUUAAUAUAUUUGGAUAUAUAUAUACACAUUGAUCUCUCAUAUGUGUGCACUUCAAUUUCUAUUUCUCUCUCCCUAUAUAUGUUAUUACUCUCCUGUCAUGAUUACAAAUACAGCACAAUCAUGAUUUUUUUUUUUAAAUCAAAUUCUGGUGUCUAUUUUAAAAAUAAAAACAACAGAGUCUGGUUCUGGGCAUAAGAAUAACUACUUUAAGACAAAAAACAUAUUACAAAAACUUCUUAAGCAUAUUAUAUAUGGAAUUUUAUUUUCAUUUUCCUGACCUUUUUUUCUUUUGACUUCUUCGACUAGUACAUUUUAUAACUCACUCAAUGUUAUAAAGAAAGCCAAAUAGAAACAUUCAAAGAGGCAAAACAGAGCAAGAUUUUCAAAGUUCUUAUUUGAAAUAUACCUCGAGCAUUAACAAAUCUAAUGCAAUGCUUCCAUUUCAAAUCCCUACAAAAAUAAAGCUACAUUUCGUGAGUAAAAAGAAACCAAUGAAACUGAAAAAAUAGAAUGGAAAAAAGUAUAAACCCCAUGCCAAAAAGCUAUUCUUUCUCACUACAGGAGUUAUCGUCAGGUCAAAACUCAAAAGGGCAUAUGCACAAUAAGAUGAAAAAUAAAAAGUUAAAUCAAGAAUAAAUCUGAUCAAAUAAAAAAAAUCAUAUUCUAUAAUAAAACAAACCACUGAUCACAAUGGUUAGAUAAAAAAAAAACUUCAGUAAUGAAACUAGUCGAACUUGAGAUGAGAGAAGGAGAUGCGAGAAAGUAUAUAGGUCAAAACCAUUGGUUAUCAAAUGUUGGAUCCACUAAAGAAGAGCGAGUUGAAUGGGUAUCAAAUUGUAUGCUUGAUUCAAAUCCGGGUCAGAUGUGGUUGUUGCCAUAUCAUAAGGGAAAGCAUUGGAUGCUUAUAAUAAUUGAUUUUGAUCACCAAUUGUGCUAUUUCCUGGAUUCUCUUCACAAUUUUCCACCAGAUGAAAUCAAAUCUCUCAUUUCUCGUGUCUUUCAACAUUUACACACAAAUAAUGCAAAAACUAAGGAAGUCGCGUGGAGAACAGUUAAGUGUCCUCGUCAACCAUUACAAUCAGUACAAUGUGGGUCCUAUGUUAUGAGGAUGAUGAAGGACUUCGUGACAAAUGAGUUUUCAAUGCGAUGGAUAACUAGUAAUUGUGGCGGGAAGAACUAUUACACAAAGGAUGAGAUCAAUGAAGUACGUGAAGAAUGGGCACAAUGCGUCAUGGAUUUGAUGAGUACUACAUAGAAUCAUAACCCUGAAAAGGAGAAAGAGACUAAUGAGGAUUUGAAUAGAAAGUAAAGAGAUGGAGAAGUUGGAGUGUAGUUUUUAUUUAGUAAUUUUAUUGUUAGUUGAACAAUUUAAAUUUCUUUAUUUCGUUUUAGAAAUUUUAGAUUUCUUUAAACAAAGAAAACUACAGUCUAGAAAUUUAGUUUAUUGUUAGUAAUUUUGAUUAUUAAUGUUUGGAAACUUAUUUCUAUUUUUGCAUAACAUUUAUUUCUUUUAUUAAU